GCCAUGGCUCUGCAACAACUAAGAUCAAGAUUUCGAAUACUUCAAAACCCUGGUUUAAUCAAAUUGUUUUCUACCACUAAUUCAUCUUCAUCAUCUGAUUCUUAUGAUCUUAACCUUCAAAACCCUAAUUUAACCCAAUCAUUUUCUACUACAUCAUCAUCAUCUGAAUGUGAUGAUCCAAAUGAAGAAGAAGAAGUGGUAAAUCAAAAGUACAAAGGUGUAUGUAGAGAAAGGGGGAAGUGGGCAGCUCAAAUUACAGAUCCACAAAAAAGAAAAGCAAAAAUCUGGUUAGGUACACCGCAAGAGGCUUCUAGAGCUUAUCAUCAAGCUGUUCUUAGAUUUGGAGUGGCUUCUGGAGAGAAAAACAAGUCACUUUCAGAUACCGAGCGAAAACAUUUCAUAGAUUUAUGUGUAAGGGAAGUUAAUGAAGAGGGUAGAUUGAUUACACGUUAAAGCCUCAAUCAUGUACCAGAGUGGGUCAAGAGAUGGAGAAGAAAUUUGGUUUGAAAUUAACUCAAACUCAGCUGCUUUAUCGGUGGAGAAAUCUAAGAAAGCAGUAUGUCGCUUGGUCAAAGCUAAUGAAUGCUGCAGGUCAUGGAUAUGAUGCAAAGACUCAUACCUUUGAUUGGUCAAAAGAUAAAUGGGCUGAUUUCAUUAAGAUGGGCUACACUGGAGUACUUCUGUAAAGAAAUAUUAUAUUGAUCUUUGCGUAAAGGAAAUUAAUGAAAAGGGUAGAUUGCUUACACGGUUAAGGCCUCAAUCAUGGAUUAAGGUGUCUCAACAACUAGAGAAGAAAUUUGGUUCGAAAUUCAACCAGAAUCAGUUGUCAAGCCAAUGGGUACAUCUAAGACGUCAGUAUAUUGCUUGGUCAAAGCUAAUGAAUGCGGCUGGAAGUGGAUACAAUGCAAAGACUCAUACCUUUGAUUGGUCUGAAGAUAAGUGGGCUGAGUUCACUAAGGUACUUAUAUUUCACUCUAUAAUUUUCUUAUUUUUUUAAUUUCAAUUAGAGCAAUGUAAUUCAGACAAAUUAGGUUUUCUGGUGCUAAAGUAGUUUUAAAGUGUGAAAUAUGAUGGUCUCUGAAUCAAGUAAAUUCAGAAAAAAGCCUUUGCAAUUCGCUAGUGAACUCAGAACCCUAUUUGGAAGUACAGUGGAGACUGAGAAUGAUGAGAAUAAACCUCAGUUAGAUGACAUGCCAUGCUCUACCUCAAAUUCCGACCAAUUUAGUGAUGCUGGAGUACAUAGAAGAAAGACGUUAACAACUUCUGAUGAUGCGAAUGAUCAAAAGAUAGGAGCAAGUGUGGAAGAAUGUGUGAAGUCUUUGAAUGAACCAAGAGCAAGUCAUGAUCUCCCUCGACAUCUUUAUAGUGCUGCACUUAAAUCAUUUUGCCAAGGAAAAGAAUAUAGGAUUGUUUGGAUGGCUGUUACUGCCCCAGAAGAUCGAGUAUCAUUUCUUCAAAGUUUACUGUGAACUGCUAUGAAAUCUACUCUUAGAUAGCCCUCCUAACUAUGCGUAGUUUUAACAUUUUAGAAAUUCUUCCCCUUUAACUGUUUGUUUUCAGAAUAAAUAACCCUUUGACCAGAAAAUCAAGUUUCUUUUCUUCUAAAUUUGUCGAAUAUAGUGAUCUGAUUUUUCAUAUCAAUGUGUAACU